AUGAUGAGUGUUGUAUGGUGGUCAAGUGGUGCCACUUCCCCUCGCCACACGCUGCUUAGUCUGCUCAUUGAAGGUGCUCUCUGUUGGUGUUUGGCUGCUGCUGCUACUGUAGGUCAAGGGCAUGCUAUGAUUACUUUGGUGGAGACAUAUUUAAGAAUGGUGUUAUCACUGAAUGCCCCUGAUGUCUGCCAAGAAGAAGGGAGCAAGCGGCAGAAGAUUAUGAUAUUGCUACUAUUGGGAGAUGCAGUCAAAUAUGGACAAGUUCCUGUAUUUUAUGGAAGGUGUAGUAUUGAAGCUUCUUGCACUGAUCUAGAAUGGAUCUUGACUUCGCCCAAGAGUGAGAUGUGA
rnacentral:rRNA from 1 species